GACGAACGCUGGCGGCGUGCCUAAUACAUGCAAGUUGAGCGCUGAAGGUUGGUACUUGUACCAUCUGGAUGAGCAGCGAACGGGUGAGUAACGCGUGGGGAAUCUGCCUUUGAGCGGGGGACAACAUUUGGAAACGAAUGCUAAUACCGCAUAAAAACUUUAAACACAAGUUUUAAGUUUGAAAGAUGCAAUUGCAUCACUCAAAGAUGAUCCCGCGUUGUAUUAGCUAGUUGGUGAGGUAAAGGCUCACCAAGGCGAUGAUACAUAGCCGACCUGAGAGGGUGAUCGGCCACAUUGGGACUGAGACACGGCCCAAACUCCUACGGGAGGCAGCAGUAGGGAAUCUUCGGCAAUGGACGAAAGUCUGAACGAGCAACGCCGCGUGAGUGAAGAAGGUUGUCGGAUCGUAAAACUCUGUUGGUAGAGAAGAACGUUGGUGAGAGUGGAAAGCUCAUCAAGUGACGGUAACUACCCAGAAAGGGACGGCUAACUACGUG
rnacentral:rRNA from 1 species